rnacentral:rRNA from 1 species
UGAGGAAUAUUGGUCAAUGGGCGCAAGCCUGAACCAGCCAUGUCGCGUGCAGGAAGACUGCCCUAUGGGUUGUAAACUGCUUUUAUAGUAGAAGAAACACAUCUACGUGUAGAUGUCUGCCAGUAUACUAUGAAUAAGCAUCGGCUAACUCCGUGCCAGCAGCCGCGGUAAUACGGAGGAUGCAAGCGUUAUCCGGAUUUAUUGGGUUUAAAGGGUGCGUAGGCGGGACUGUAAGUCAGGGGUGAAAUACUGCAGCUUAACUGUAGCAUUGCCUUUGAAACUGCCGUUCUUGAGUACAGUUGAGGUAGGCGGAAUGUGGUGUGUAGCGGUGAAAUGCAUAGAUAUACCACAGAACGCCGAUUGCGAAGGCAGCUUACUAAGCUGUUACUGACGCUGAGGC